rnacentral:rRNA from 1 species
AUGGGGACCCUUAGGGAGAUCCUGCCGUCGCCCAAGACGUCGUCCUCCACGUUCUACGACCACAGCAGCGACCCGUGGUUCAAGGAGCGGUACGGCGGGGAGCCCGCGGAGGCGGCGGCGGGGAAGCUAGCGGGCCCCGCCAAGCCCGUGCCUCCCUACGGGAAGCGCACCGGCUUCGUCCCCCGGCGGCCGGAGGACUUCGGCGAUGGCGGCGCCUUCCCCGAGAUCCUCCUCGCGCAGUACCCGCUCGGCAUGGGCCGCCGCGACGACAAGGGCGGGUCCAAGAUCCUCGCGCUCACCGUCGACGCGCAGGGCAGCGUCGCCUUCGACGCCGUCGUCAAGCAGGGCGAGAACGCCAAGAAGAUCGUCUACUCCAAGCACAGCGACAUCGUGCCCAAGAUCGCCACGGCCGACUCCGAAGCCGUCGAGGACGAGGAGUACGAUAAGGAGGUCGAGGAGACCAAAGAGCGUACCGUAGCUGCCCUGCAGAAGAUUGUCAACGUCCGCCUCUCUGCUGCCCAGCCCAAAAACGUUCCGACGCAUGAUUCGGAAUCGAAGUUCAUCAAGUAUAAGCCGUCGCAGCAGUCGGCAGCUUUCAAUUCAGGUGCCAAGGAGAGGAUUAUUAGGAUGUCGGAGAUGGCUUCAGAUCCUCUCGACCCACCAAAGUUCAAGCAUAAGCGAGUGCCCCGUGCAUCCGGGUCGCCGCCUGUGCCGGUGAUGCACUCGCCACCGCGGCCUGUCACAGUGAAGGACCAGCAGGAUUGGAAGAUCCCACCUUGCAUCUCAAAUUGGAAGAAUCCAAAGGGUUACACAAUCCCACUUGACAAGAGGUUGGCAGCUGAUGGGAGGGGGCUGCAGGAGGUUCAGAUUAAUGAUAACUUUGCAAAGCUUUCAGAAGCGUUGUAUGUUGCAGAGCAGAAGGCGAGGGAAGCAGUGCAGAUGCGCUCCAAGGUGCAGAGGGAGCUAAUGCUAAAGGAGAAGGAGAGGAAGGAGCAAGAGUUGAGGGCACUUGCACAGAAGGCCCGCAUGGAAAGGUCUGGUGCUCCACCUCCAUCCACGGGUAUGCCUGUUGGAGGUGGGAGGGAGAGAGAGCGGGAGAGGGUUGAUGAUGGGGAUGCAGAUAUGGAUUUGGAGCAGCCGCGUGAGCAGCGCAGGGAGACUAGAGAAGAGAGGGAGGCGAGGAUUGAGCGUGACAGGAUCCGUGAGGAGCGGAGGCGUGAGAGGGAGAGGGAGAGGAGGCUGGAGGCGAAGGAGGCUGCUGGAACACAUAAAAAGAGUAAGCUCACUAGAGACAGGGACCGUGACGUCGGUGAGAAGGUGGCCCUGGGUAUGGCACACACUGGUGCAAAGACCGGGGAAGUCAUGUAUGACCAGAGGCUCUUUAACCAGGACAAGGGAAUGGACUCUGGUUUUGGUGCUGAUGAUCAGUACAACCUGUAUUCGAAGGGCCUCUUCACAGCACAGUCCAGUAUGUCCUCACUUUACAGGCCCAAGAAGGAUGGUGAUUCUGAAGUGUAUGGUGGUGAUGCCAACGAACAGUUGGACAAGGUUAUGAAGACAGAGAGGUUCAAGCCUGACAAGGCGUUUACCGGUGCUCCAGAGAGGGCUGGCAAGAGAGAUAGACCGGUGGAGUUUGAUAAGCAAGAGGAGGCCGAUCCAUUUGGUCUUGAUCAGUUCUUGACUGAGGUGAAGAAGGGGAAGAAAGCUGUGGACAAGAUUGGUGGCGGUGGAACUAUGAAGGCAAGUGGUGGAUCUUCGAGGGAUGAUUACGAGGGUGGAGGAUCUGGGAGGUCUCGCAUUAACUUCGAAAGAGGAGGGCGUUGA